AGAGUUUGAUCAUGGCUCAGAACGAACGCUGGCGGCGUGGAUAAGACAUGCAAGUCGAGCGAGAUUUUUUCCUGUAGCAAUAUAGGUAAAAGUCUAGCGGCGAACGGGUGCUUAACACGUGGGCAAUCUGCCGAGAAGUGGGGGAUAGCUCGCCGAAAGGCGAAUUAAUACCGCAUGUGAUUAGAGAGGACAUCCUUUCGAAAUUAAAGUCGGGGCAACCUGACGCUUUUUGUGGAGCCCGCGGCCUAUCAGCUAGUUGGUGAGGUAACGGCCCACCAAGGCUUUGACGGGUAGCUGGUCUGAGAGGACGACCAGCCACACUGGGACUGAGACACGGCCCAGACACCUACGGGUGGCAGCAGUCGAGAAUUUUUCUCAAUGGGGGAAACCCUGAAGGAGCGACGCCGCGUGGAGGAUGAAGGUCUUCGGAUUGUAAACUUCUGUCAUUGGGGAACAAGGUGCAUACGUUAACUGCGUGUGCAUUGAUAGUACCCGAAGAGGAAGAGACGGCUAACUCUGUGCCAGCAGCCGCGGUAAUACAGAGGUCUCAAGCGUUGUUCGGAUUCAUUGGGCGUAAAGGGUGCGUAGGCGGCGCGGUAAGUCGGGUGUGAAAUCUCGGAGCUUAACUCCGAAACUGCAUUCGAUACUGCCGUGCUUGAGGACUGGAGAGGAGACUGGAAUUUACGGUGUAGCGGUGAAAUGCGUAGAUAUCGUAAGGAAGACCAGUGGCGAAGGCGGGUCUCUGGACAGUUUCUGACGCUGAGGCACGAAGGCCAGGGGAGCAAACGGGAUUAGAUACCCCAGUAGUCC
rnacentral:rRNA from 1 species